GACGAACGCUGGCGGCGUGCUUAACACAUGCAAGUCGAACGGAAAGGCCCCUUUGGGGGUACUCGAGUGGCGAACGGGUGAGUAACACGUGAGUAACCUGCCCUUGACUUCGGGAUAACUUCAGGAAACUGGGGCUAAUACCGGAUAGGAAUCCUUGCUGCAUGGUGGGGGUUGGAAAGCUUCGGCGGUUUUGGAUGGACUCGCGGCUUAUCAGCUUGUUGGUGGGGUAGUGGCUUACCAAGGCUUUGACGGGUAGCCGGCCUGAGAGGGCGACCGGCCACAUUGGGACUGAGAUACGGCCCAGACUCCUACGGGAGGCAGCAGUGGGGAAUAUCGCACAAUGGGCGGAAGCCUGAUGCAGCAACGCCGCGUGCGGGAUGACGGCCUUCGGGUUGUAAACCGCUUUCAGCAGGGGCGAAGCUUUUGUGACGGUACCUGCAGAAGAAGCACCGGCUAACUACGUG
rnacentral:rRNA from 1 species